rnacentral:rRNA from 1 species
CCUACGGGUGGCUGCAGCAAGGAAUUUUCCCCAAUGGGCUCACGCCUGAGGGAGCAACGCCGCGUGCAGGACGACGGCCUUCGGGUUGUAAACUGCUUUUGGGGGGGAAGACUACGACGGUACCCCCUGAAUAAGCCCCGGCUAACUCCGUGCCAGCAGCCGCGGUAAGACGGAGGGGGCAAGCGUUGUCCGGAAUCACUGGGCGUAAAGCGCGCGUAGGUGGCACAGUGCGUCGGUGCUGAAAGCGCCGGGCUUAACCCGGCGAGGUGCAGCGA